UCAGACGAUGCGUCAUGCAUAUCAAUAAGCGGAGGAAAAGAAACUAACAAGGAUUCCCCUAGUAACGGCGAGUGAAGCGGGAAGAGCUCAAAUUUGAAAUCUUAAAGGGUUUCCCUUUACGAAUUGUAGUUUAAAGAAGUGUUUUCUGUUGAGGUUUUGGUAAAAGUUCUUUGGAAUAGGACAUCAUAGAGGGUGAGAAUCCCGUAUUUGACCUUUACUUUCAACUUUGUGAUACACUUUCAAAGAGUCGGAUUGUUUGGGAAUGCAGUCCAAAAUGGGUGGUAAAUUUCAUCUAAAGCUAAAUAUUGGCGAGAGACCGAUAGCGAACAAGUACCGUGAGGGAAAGAUGAAAAGAACUUUGAAAAGAGAGUUAAACAGUACGUGAAAUUGUCAAAAGGGAAGCGUUUGACACCAGUGUUGUUUUUCUGAAAAUCAAUUAAAGAACUGUUUAUGCUAAGCUGUUUAGACUUUAUCAGCUAUCUGUUUAGUUUUGAGCUUUUCUUUAAUGCACUUUCAGUUAACAAGUCAACAUACAAUUUCUUUUGCUGUAAAAAAGCUUGAGGAAGGUGGCUUGAGAUUCGUCUUAAGUGUUUAUAGCCUCUUGCCUAUGCAGUCGGAGAGAUUGAGGUCUGCAGCGUAGAUCCUUCGGGGCUAAAUGCAUUUGUGCUAAGUUAUAGCAUUUUAUAGACAACUUGUUGACUAUGAUUUGUCUUGUAGCUUACUCGCUUAUGUUAUUUUACCUACGCUUAGGAUGUUGACACACGCGCGUGCUCG
rnacentral:rRNA from 1 species